UACGUAGGGUGCAAGCGUUGUCCGGAAUUAUUGGGCGUAAAGAGCUCGUAGGCGGUCUGUCGCGUCGGCUGUGAAAUCCCGGGGCUCAACCCCGGGCCUGCAGUCGAUACGGGCAGACUAGAGUGCGGUAGGGGAGACUGGAAUUCCUGGUGUAGCGGUGAAAUGCGCAGAUAUCAGGAGGAACACCGGUGGCGAAGGCGGAUCUCUGGGCCGAUACUGACGCUGAGGAGCGAAAGCGUGGGGAGCGAACAGG
rnacentral:rRNA from 1 species